GUGAAUAAUAAGCAGGAAGAGAGGCCCUACUGGAAAAAGACAGCAGCUGCUGCCAGAGGAACUUUUGCCCAUGCAGAAUAAUGUUUUUGACUGUAGCACCAAAAGGAAGAGAAACCAAUCUUUUGGAGCAGAAGAGGAUUUUCCCAGGCGCCACCCCCUCUGCUCCCCAGGACAGUUUGUGGAGAGGCAUUUGAAAGGUUUAAUGGACUUCUUUUGCAUGAUGCUAAAGCCACCUGAUAUUUGAAUUUAGUUUGGAGUUGCAUGACUGUCUCCAUCCUCCCCAGGACCUUCUAGCUGUACUCUCUCCACACUUAAUGAAUUCCGAUCUCAGGCAAAGUCAGCCAAAAGAAAAGACUGGGCUCCAGUGACUGAGGUUACUUUGGGCACCUCUAAUGCUAAAGAGCCUGGGCAAUGGAGUGCUGAAAAUGAAGCAAACUACAGGGGCU
rnacentral:lncRNA from 1 species